rnacentral:rRNA from 1 species
GAUGAACGCUGGCGGCGUGCCUAAUACAUGCAAGUCGAGCGAACGGACGAGAAGCUUGCUUCUCUGAUGUUAGCGGCGGACGGGUGAGUAACACGUGGAUAACCUACCUAUAAGACUGGGAUAACUUCGGGAAACCGGAGCUAAUACCGGAUAAUAUUUUGAACCGCAUGGUUCAAAAGUGAAAGACGGUCUUGCUGUCACUUAUUGAUGGAUCCGCGCUGCAUUAGCUAGUUGGUAAGGUAACGGCUUACCAAGGCAACGAUGCAUAGCCGACCUGAGAGGGUGAUCGGCCACACUGGAACUGAGACACGGUCCAGACUCCUACGGGAGGCAGCAGUAGGGAAUCUUCCGCAAUGGGCGAAAGCCUGACGGAGCAACGCCGCGUGAGUGAUGAAGGUCUUCGGAUCGUAAAACUCUGUUAUUAGGGAAGAACAAAUGUGUAAGUAACUGUGCACAUCUUGACGGUACCUAAUCAGAAAGCCACGGCUAACUACGUG